CGUACACUCCUGCGGGAGGCAGCAGUGGGGAAUAUUGGACAAUGGGCGCAAGCCUGAUCCAGCCAUGUCGCGUGAGUGAUGAAGGCCCUAGGGUUGUAAAGCUCUUUCACCGGUGAAGAUAAUGACGGUAACCGGAGAAGAAGCCCCGGCUAACUUCGUGCCAGCAGCCGCGGUAAUACGAAGGGGGCUAGCGUUGUUCGGAUUUACUGGGCGUAAAGCGCACGUAGGCGGACUAUUAAGUCAGGGGUGAAAUCCCGGGGCUCAACCCCGGAACUGCCUUUGAUACUGGUAGUCUUGAGUUCGAGAGAGGUGAGUGGAAUUCCGAGUGUAGAGGUGAAAUUCGUAGAUAUUCGGAGGAACACCAGUGGCGAAGGCGGCUCACUGGCUCGAUACUGACGCUGAGGUGCGAAAGCGUGGGGAGCAAACAGGAUUAGAUACCCUUGUAGUCCCAUG
rnacentral:rRNA from 1 species